GGUGAACGCUGGCGGCGUGCCUAAUACAUGCAAGUCGAGCGAACGGACGAGAAGCUUGCUUCUCUGAUGUUAGCGGCGGACGGGUGAGUAACACGUGGAUAACCUACCUAUAAGACUGGGAUAACUUCGGGAAACCGGAGCUAAUACCGGAUGAUAUUUUGAACCGCAUGGUUCAAAAGUGAAAGACGGUCUUGCUGUCACUUAUAGAUGGAUCCGCGCUGCAUUAGCUAGUUGGUAAGGUAACGGCUUACCAAGGCAACGAUGCAUAGCCGACCUGAGAGGAUGAUCGGCCACACUGGAACUGAGACACGGUCCAGACUCCUACGGGAGGCAGCAGUAGGGAAUCUUCCGCAAUGGGCGAAAGCCUGACGGAGCAACGCCGCGUGAGUGAUGAAGGUCUUCGGAUCGUAAAACUCUGUUAUUAGGGAAGAACAUAUGUGUAAGUAACUGUGCACAUCUUGACGGUACCUAAUCAGAAAGCCACGGCUAACUACGUG
rnacentral:rRNA from 1 species